UACGUAGGGUGCAAGCGUUGUCCGGAAUUAUUGGGCGUAAAGCGUCUGUAGGUGGCUUUUUAAGUCUGCCGUCAAAUCCCAGGGCUUAACCCUGGACAGGCGGUGGAAACUACCAAGCUGGAGUACGGUAGGGGGCAGAGGGAAUUUCCGGUGGAGCGGUGAAAUGCGUAGAGAUCGGAAAGAACACCAACGGCGAAAGCACUCUGCUGGGCCGACACUGACACUGAGAGACGAAAGCUAGGGGAGCGAAUGGG
rnacentral:rRNA from 1 species